CAGGAUGAGGGGUAAUGGUUUUAAGCUGAAAGAGGGGAGAUUUAGCUUAGUUAUUAGGAAGAAAUGUUUUCCUGUGAGAGUCUCUAACACAAGCCACCAGACUUCAAACGCAGCCAUCACCAGUGAUAAGACCUGAACUUCUAGUCCCUACCUUUUUCUCAGAAGUUAAAAAAAGCAGAGAAAUAUGAACGCUCAAGCCUUUUGGGCUGUUCAAGAGCAGGAAAAAGCUUUUUACACUUCAUCAGGACAUCCAACUCAAGCAUGAAGCAGCCCCCUCAGCAGGAGCGUAACUUCCGAGAGCAAAAAUGUAUUUGAAAGUCUCAGUACUCGUAGGGAACACAAGCUCCAAAGGAAUAAACUGCGGUUCAGCCCAAAUUCUGCAUCUUUACCGAGUCCACCGAAAUCUCAUGAAGUUUAGAUCACUGAGAACCAGCCCGUUGUGGAUCACCCUGGUUUGCACCCUGUAGGAAGCCAGUGAGGAGGCACCGACCCCGAGCAGGGCUGACCACAGCCAGGCAGCACUACAGAAAUGCCAGUCCCAGUCCACACCAGCCCUUGCCCAUCUUCUUGCUCAUUGUUUUUAUACUUGCCAAAAUAUAUGGCUAAGAAAGAGCACGUGGCAGCCAGAGGAGAUGGUGCACAGGGACAAGCUGCAGGCAGGCUGGCUGGGUGGCCUCAGCACAUCUGCAGCCUCCCACGAGACUUGCAUUUGACAUCUAUCUCCCCGUUGUGAAGACAUCUUUAUCUCAGUUUUCAGGAAACGUCAGAUGACUCAUCUAUCGGAACAUCUGAUUAAGCGAGGGGAUCCCCCAGGUCUCCCAGGAGUCUCUCCAGCACACAGCACUUGGAGUGAGCACCUCAGCCCCAUGGAAACCUCUCAGUAUGAACACAGGUAAACACACCUGGUUUACAGCUCCACAGCCAGGCCCGCAUUUCCAUCAAGUAUGCCGCCAUGGGCACAGUGCUAAGGGCACAACAGGGUGCAGCACACCACCACGAUGAGGUGCAGCGCAAUGACACCCCAGCACGGUGGCCACGGCAGCACCUGCAGCACAGCACCCUCGCAGCUGGCCUGUGCCACGCCACACCACGCCUUGCCACGACGACGAAGCACCAGGCAGGCUCACCUGGGCGGUGGCCACCUGGGCAGGAGGCCCCAGGCCACUCCACCACCAAGGGCAAAGCCUCAGAGCUGGGACUCCCCAUCAGUGUCAGCUGCUCCUGGCACCGCUCCGAACUCCAAUGCUUUUUGAAUGUGCAAAAACAUUUUAAUUCCACAUUCUAAAAUUAUUAUUUCUUCCCGCACAUACAUCAUAAUUACUGCAAUUUCUAAAUAAACAUAGAAACAAAAAUAUUUCAGUAUCGCCAAGAUAAACCACAGCUGGGGGUGAUGGGGCUGGGUAUUUCAGGCCCAAGAGCAUUUCGAAUGUUCAUCCUUUACCCUGAUCUAACACAAAACGUGUUUUGAAACUCAGGGAUGUUGCAGGAUUUAUAUAAAACUGUGAUAAACCUGCUGGCUGCCCAGCUCCCACGCAAUCAGGGCCUGGCUGCACAGGCGACCUGCAGUAGCUGCUAACAGCUACAACCGCCUCCCCCGAGCGCGUCUCUGCCGUAAGCCAGCUCCACACGCUCAGGCUCUGCUCAGCUGCCCGGGAUUUGGUCCCAGGAAGAGAAAAUUACACUGUAGAAAAUCUGACAGGCGUAUUUCUGUUUCCUAACUUUUUGAUUUUUUUUUUUCUUUGACUCUACUAAACCAAUUCUGCACUAUUUGUUGGAUGAGUAUUUGAAAUGUAAACAAUUAUUUAAUUAAUAAAAAAUGUAGGGAAAGCACUGGGAUCUACACAUUUAACACCUAUGACCGAAACUACUGCAACAGUAAAACAGCAGCUAUAUAUUCACAGCACCUAACUUGGAUAUAGCUCCUAAAAAUCAGAGGGAGGCUGCACCCUCCCUGAUAGAUCCUGCUUACACGUCUAGAGGCACCUUGUCUCCCACUGAGUGUUGUCCUUUCCUUAAGCAAGUGCAUUUGUGAAAAAGACGGGAUAACCACAGCAGUCCCAGACACAGAAAUACAAGCAGGGUGCUCUCAGACAUCCAAAUAACCCGGGGAGGAAAACACUCUUCUAAGAUUCACCAUCAGCUGUUCAGAGACACCAACAACCGCUGGUAGUUGCGAGAAGGAAACAAAUCAUCAUAUUGCUUACGUGGUUUGUGCUAUUAAAAACAAAGAAUCCUUACAGUGACUUUGCUGUUUCUACGUGAAGCGCCCUUUAUUCCAGCUACUGGCAGAGAAUAAUUUAGAGGCAAGGAACCAGCCAUACCGGAGGAUCUGAGCCCUGCCAGGCAUAUUUUCCCUUCAACCCCGCUAUCCUUUCCCUGAGGAAAACAGCAAAACAAAUCAACAAGCAUCAAUAAAAUAGAAGCAGCAAAACAUCCCGCUGCUGGCAGGCAGUAAUUGCUCCCUUUCGGGCUCCAGGGUUUCUCUGGCUACAACUGCUUCUUUCAUUAACCGUAUAUCCUUGAAAAUAAUA